UUAGGUUGACUUACGAUGACUUAAUAUGAUGACUUUUCAUGCAAUGUUGAGAACAAAAACUCUCACAAUUCCGUUGAUUUGAUUCUGAAUAUGAUGACCUAUUCUUGUCUCUUCCUUUUUGUUGUUGUUGUUUUUUACUAUCUCAAUGUCAUAGAACAGUUUCUCUCCAUUAUUUGAAUCGUCUGGCCACCCUCAGAACCGUAACAGCAGCGGUCGCCUAUCGACGGUCACACAUGGCUCAGUUUCCCAGGAUGCACCUGGCACGGGGCAAGCGAGCGGAUGCAGGCCACAGCUGUUUCCUGUGCACACUUCCUGGUUUGCCUUUCAGAGGCCUGCUGGUUUUGGGUUGUAUUCGUGGGGUUGAUAAGGGUGAUGUACAAGAGUGGAUUUGAGACUUUUCCAGUCCGGAUAUGUCCGCCAUGGGCACAGCUGGACACAAGCCAGAGACGCUACGCUGAGAAAACCGAGACUGCGCUCCCUGGACACUUCAUGAAAUACAUCUAAACCAUUGGUCACCAACAUGGUACCUGCGGAGACCAGAUGGCGCGAGCAAACAAAGGGAAUCUGAAAUGCCAGGAGAAAAAAUUAACGAUACACAUGAGCUACACAUGAACGUAACGUUUUUGCACCGAAGACGCUGUCAAAGUGCGUCCCAUGCCGCCGGGUCACGUAAGGUAAGCGCUGAUUCCUAUUUACACAUUCACGAGCUCUUGUAUCGACUUUUUUUGUUUGUUUCGUUCAUGUUCCGGCGUUAUGGCUGUUGCUCAUCGUGGCAUGAGCGUGUGUAUUCGAGGUAAGAUCGGGCAUUUCGGGUCGGGUCGGGUCUUAAAAUGUCAAUCAUUGGUUCGGGGUCGGAUCGGGCUUUUCUCUCGCUGACUUUUUUUUUCGAAGCCGUCAAUAGUUUUGGCCACGAGAGACUGUGGUUCGCAAAAAAAAAAACAGAAGUUGUCUCAUCACAACACGUACUGUACUAAACUCUUGCAAUGACAAUUCAAAAAACUCCUUCCUGUCUCUGUCUAUGAUCCACCCAUCAUUAUUCUUUUUCUCUCUCUCUGCUUUUCUCUCAUAUAGUGUCGCGCUAGAUUC